GGCUUGAUGGUCUAACUAGAGGUAUGAUUCUCGUUCCGGAUGCGAAAGGUCCCGGGUUCAAAUCCUGGUCAAGCCC